AGAUUAAGUUAUUAAGGGCGCACGGUGGAUGCCUUGGCACUAGAAGCCGAUGAAGGACGUUACUAACGACGAUAUGCUUUGGGGAGCUGUAAGUAAGCGUUGAUCCAGAGAUUUCCGAAUGGGGAAACCCAGCAUGAGUUAUGUCAUGUUAUCGAUAUGUGAAUACAUAGCAUAUCAGAAGGCAGACCCGGAGAACUGAAACAUCUUAGUACCCGGAGGAAGAGAAAGAAAAAUCGAUUCCCUGAGUAGCGGCGAGCGAAACGGGAAGAGCCCAAACCAACAAGCUUGCUUGUUGGGGUUGUAGGACACUCUAUACGGAGUUACAAAAGUAUAUAUUAGACGAAUCAUCUGGAAAGUUGAAUCAAAGAAGGUAAUAAUCCUGUAGUCGAAAAUAUAUACUCUCUUGAGUGGAUCCUGAGUACGACGGAGCACGUGAAAUUCCGUCGGAAUCUGGGAGGACCAUCUCCUAAGGCUAAAUACUCUCUAGUGACCGAUAGUGAACCAGUACCGUGAGGGAAAGGUGAAAAGUACCCCGGAAGGGGAGUGAAAGAGAACUUGAAACCGUGUGCUUACAAGUAGUCAGAGCCCGUUAAUGGGUGAUGGCGUGCCUUUUGUAGAAUGAACCGGCGAGUUACGAUUUGAUGCAAGGUUAAGCAGCUAAUGUGGAGCCGUAGCGAAAGCGAGUCUGAAUAGGGCGUUUAGUAUUUGGUCGUAGACCCGAAACCAGGUGAUCUACCCUUGGUCAGGUUGAAGUUCAGGUAACACUGAAUGGAGGACCGAACCGACUUACGUUGAAAAGUGAGCGGAUGAACUGAGGGUAGCGGAGAAAUUCCAAUCGAACUUGGAGAUAGCUGGUUCUCUCCGAAAUAGCUUUAGGGCUAGCCUCAAGUGAUGAUUAUUGGAGGUAGAGCACUGUUUGGACGAGGGGCCCUUCUCGGGUUACCGAAUUCAGACAAACUCCGAAUGCCAAUCAAUUUAACUUGGGAGUCAGAACAUGGGUGAUAAGGUCCGUGUUCGAAAGGGAAACAGCCCAGACCACCAGCUAAGGUCCCAAAAUAUAUGUUAAGUGGAAAAGGAUGUGGCGUUGCCCAGACAACUAGGAUGUUGGCUUAGAAGCAGCCAUCAUUUAAAGAGUGCGUAAUAGCUCACUAGUCGAGUGACACUGCGCCGAAAAUGUACCGGGGCUAAACAUAUUACCGAAGCUGUGGAUUGUCCGUAGGACAAUGGUAGGAGAGCGUUCUAAGGGCGUCGAAGCAUGAUCGCAAGGACAUGUGGAGCGCUUAGAAGUGAGAAUGCCGGUGUGAGUAGCGAAAGACGGGUGAGAAUCCCGUCCACCGAUUGACUAAGGUUUCCAGAGGAAGGCUCGUCCGCUCUGGGUUAGUCGGGUCCUAAGCUGAGGCCGACAGGCGUAGGCGAUGGAUAACAGGUUGAUAUUCCUGUACCACCUAGUAUCGUUUUAAUCGAUGGGGGGACGCAGUAGGAUAGGCGAAGCGUGCUAUUGGAUUGCACGUCCAAGCAGUAAGACUGAGUGUUAGGCAAAUCCGGCACUCAUAAGGUCAAGCUGUGAUGGGGAGGGGGAAAUUGUUUCCUCGAGUCGUUGAUUUCACACUGCCAAGAAAAGCCUCUAGAUAGAUAACAAGUGCCCGUACCGCAAACCGACACAGGUAGUCAAGAUGAGAAUUCUAAGGUGAGCGAGCGAACUCUCGUUAAGGAACUCGGCAAAAUGACCCCGUAACUUCGGGAGAAGGGGUGCUCUUUAGGGUUAACGCCCAGAAGAGCCGCAGUGAAUAGGCCCAAGCGACUGUUUAUCAAAAACACAGGUCUCUGCUAAACCGUAAGGUGAUGUAUAGGGGCUGACGCCUGCCCGGUGCUGGAAGGUUAAGAGGAGUAGUUAGCUUCUGCGAAGCUACGAAUCGAAGCCCC
rnacentral:rRNA from 1 species